GUGCUCACUGGGGCAGCAGAUAUACUAAAAUUGGAACGAUACAGAGAAGAUUAGCAUGGUCCCU
rnacentral:snRNA from 1 species